rnacentral:rRNA from 3 species
UAGUGGCGAACGGGUGAGUAACACGUGGGCAAUCUGCCCUGCACUCUGGGACAAGCCCUGGAAACGGGGUCUAAUACCGGAUACGAGCCUGGGAGGCAUCUCCCGGGUUGGAAAGCUCCGGCGGUGCAGGAUGAGCCCGCGGCCUAUCAGCUUGUUGGUGAGGUAAUGGCUCACCAAGGCGACGACGGGUAGCCGGCCUGAGAGGGCGACCGGCCACACUGGGACUGAGACACGGCCCAGACUCCUACGGGAGGCAGCAGUGGGGAAUAUUGCACAAUGGGCGAAAGCCUGAUGCAGCGACGCCGCGUGAGGGAUGACGGCCUUCGGGUUGUAAACCUCUUUCAGCAGGGAAGAAGCGAGAGUGACGGUACCUGCAGAAGAAGCGCCGGCUAACUACGUGCCAGCAGCCGCGGUAAUACGUAGGGCGCAAGCGUUGUCCGGAAUUAUUGGGCGUAAAGAGCUCGUAGGCGGCUUGUCACGUCGGUUGUGAAAGCCCGGGGCUUAACCCCGGGUCUGCAGUCGAUACGGGCAGGCUAGAGUUCGGUAGGGGAGAUCGGAAUUCCU